UACGAAGGGGGCUAGCGUUGCUCGGAAUCACUGGGCGUAAAGGGUGCGUAGGCGGGUCUUUAAGUCAGGGGUGAAAUCCUGGAGCUCAACUCCAGAACUGCCUUUGAUACUGAGGAUCUUGAGUCCGGGAGAGGUGAGUGGAACUGCGAGUGUAGAGGUGAAAUUCGUAGAUAUUCGCAAGAACACCAGUGGCGAAGGCGGCUCACUGGCCCGGUAUUGACGCUGAGGUGCGAAAGCGUGGGGAGCAAACAGG
rnacentral:rRNA from 1 species